AGAAAACUUAGCAAACUAGAAUAUGUGGUCCACAUUCACCCACAUCACCUCAUCCAUACCCAUCCUUUAAGGGUAUUUUGGUCUUUUUGUUUCUUUCUUUGAAGAUUGUGCUUUGUACUUUUCACCAACCAUCACAUUUCCCCACAUCCCCACUUGAUUAUACCCAACCCAUUAUCCAUCACCUUUUGUACUUCUUAUCAUCCAUCAUAUUUUUCAAAACUCCAUUGUUCUCUUCUUCAACCAUUGAAAUCUGAAGAUCGAAGAUCGAAGCCAUCCCUUCCAACCUUUGAAAUAUGAAGAUCGAAGCCACCAUCAAUGCUCUGCCACCAUCAAAGCUCUCAAAGAUCGAAGAUCAAAGCCACCAUCCCUUCCAACCUUGAAAUCUGAAGAUCGAAGCCACCAUUGAAGAUCGAAGCCACCAUCAAAGCUCUCAAAGAAAAGGAAGCUCGGUGUCAUUUUAAUCACAUCUUUGUUUCUGUUUUUUAGAGAGAGAAAGCUAAUGUUUUGGAAGGAGAGAUAACAAUUUUCAUGUUGUUCACCUAGACACCAAGAACACACGCACAAGUGUGUGAGAGAGAAACAGGUGGAAAGAUGUUUUGUGUUCAAGAUGAAGAUGGUUAUCAAGAAGCGAAACCCGCGGAAGGAUUACAACGCAUCAUCAAGUUUUCGUGGUGACGAUGGUGUUGUUGUGAAGGCAAUUUUUAGAAGACCAUUUUUAGAAGCAUUACAACUAUUGAUAUAAAAUUUAUUUUUAUUUUCAUUGUUAGUAUGCCAAUAUUUGGAUGAAUACGGAUGUUGUUGUGAAGGCAA